rnacentral:rRNA from 1 species
CAGCAGCCGCGGGAAUACGGAGGGGGCUAGCGUUGUUCGGAAUUACUGGGCGUAAAGCGCACGUAGGCGGCUUUGUAAGUUAGAGGUGAAAGCCUGGAGCUCAACUCCAGAAUUGCCUUUAAGACUGCAUCGCUUGAAUCGCGGAGAGGUGAGUGGAAUUCCGAGUGUAGAGGUGAAAUUCGUAGAUAUUCGGAAGAACACCAGUGGCGAAGGCGGCUCACUGGACGCGUAUUGACGCUGAGGUGCGAAAGCGUGGGGAGCAAACAGGAUUAGAUACCCGUGUAGUCCCUGUCUCUUAUAC